UCAAAUGAGACAAAGAUCUUGGCAGAAAAUGGAACUGUGGUAAUUAAGACCCCAGGAGCACGCACCGUGCCAGGUGGAGCUUGCUUGCGGUUUUAAAAUGGCAGACAUCUAAAAGCUGGGAUAUUUCACACAGAAAUCAGCUUUUCAGCUUCUCUUGAUAAUGUGUAUUCCCCCAUGGCAGCAUCUGUUGGAGCUGAGGUCAGAUGCCCCUCUAUAUGUGGCCUGUGCCCUCCUGGCUACUGCAGUCCCCAGUGCUCCCUAAUGUACAUCUAGCCUCGCUGCCCUGUGAAUUUUACCUGCUUGGCCUCUUGGCCUUGCAGGCUGGUGAAUUUACUUUCUAAUAAUUGUUGAUACUGAGGAUUAGAGAAGUCUAUUUCAUUAUGAUCCAGGGCAGGGCUCAGGUGGGCUUUCUGUGUAUUCCCCUGGUGACCAGGAAUAGAAUCUCGACGCACCUUUACUACCUCCCAUUACCAUGGCUGAGCAGCUGAACCCAAGCAGGUAUCAGCAGGAGGAAGACCCUGGGACCCAGCUGCUCCAGGUCUUCAGUCCUGCAGGGGCUCUGGUUGCUCAUCCUCAGGAAUGGGCUGUCCAUGGGGUUCUCAGUGGGCAGAGGUCUGUAGGCUCCCAACUCCCCUGACAGAUCGGCUCUGGUGACUUUCUGGCUCUCACCCUAGGCUUGAGGUGGCCUUCCUGGGUCACUGAAGUGACCCUAAGGAGAAAACUAUUUUUGUUUUUGUUUUUUUUCUAGAAUGGCCUCCUGACCCCUUCAGCUGCUAAUGGCUCAGCCUUUGUCCUUCAUUCACUCGAGGAUCUUUCACCACAACCCCUACUGAAGCCUCCCCUGGCCUCUCCUCUUCCUAGACUGUGGAAAUGCUUCUCGGUGUAAGAUAAGCCUCAGCACAAACAUCAUCUCCUCUUCUAGGGAUCUUUUCCUGGUCCUCCCAGCAAAAACAUUUGUACUGUUUUCAGAAGUGUCCUCACAGAACGAUGCUGGUGUCCCCAUUGGGAUGCAUUUGAUCCUGCUACUGCUGGUUCGUGUGUGUGUCUUCUCCCCUGGCCUGUGUGUGUUUCAUCCUGUUUCCUACAUCUGGCCCAGGCCAGGUUGAAGGUGCCUGACAGGUGUUUACCAAAUCAAUGCGCUGAAGAGAGCACUACAGCUUGAGCUCCUCUAAGCUAAAAGUAUGAAAUCCAAAAUACCCCAAAGUCUGAAAAAUUCUGAACACCAACAUGAUGUUACAAGCAGAAAAUUCCACAUCUAACUCAUGUAAUGGGUCAAAAUCAAAGCACUGGCACAGUAAAAAAGACUAUAAAAUUCCCUUUAGGCUCUGUGUAUUUGGUUUAUAUGAAACAUGAGUGAAUUUUGUGUUUAGAUUUGGAUCGGAUCCCCAAGUAUGUAUACACAAAUAUUCCCACAUAAGAAAGGCUUUGAAAUCAAAAGCACUUCUAAUCUCAAGCAUUUUGGGUAAAAGAUAUUAAAUCUGUACUAGGGCAAAAACAGGAUUGCCUCAGAGGACUAUAUUGGGAAGCAAAUCCUUUUUUAAUAUGGCAUUUCUAGAGCCUGGGGCCCCUUAUGACCAUGAGCUGAAAGGCAGUAAAGAUCUGUCAACGGCUUGGCUUGAGAAUCCACGUCAGGCUUGCCUGGACAGGUGUGACUCAGCUCCUCCCAUGGAUCAGGCCAAGUCUGGUGUCUCUCAGGGCCACUUCCUGAACUUCAUGACUGUUCUUGGGAGGUAGCAAUUCUCUUUCCCAUCUCAUAACUCAGCGUAGUGACUCCACAUUUCCACUACCAACAUCAUCCUUUACCAAGCCACUGCCUCCAACAAUCACUAGCAGGGUAAGAGGAUGCUUGACUGCUUGGGGACAGUCCUAAGCUUUGGACACUGCCUGGCUACCCCUGAAAGCCUGGUUUUCACCGUCUCUCCUCUACAGGUCCCUGUCCCUACUCAGUUUGCCAAGCGCACUCUCAACCUUCAAUAACACUCCAAGAGCCACCUCCUGCGAUUGUCCACAGUAUACCCAGAGUGAACUAAGGGAAGAGAGAUAGUCACUUGUUUAAGUGCAGGUCAGUGUGAUACCAGAUGCUGUGUGCAGGCUGCACCUGACCUGGUAUCUUUGGUGCUCUGUCCUUUCCACUUGGCCCAUGGACUCCAGGAACGCAGAUGUUAAGAGGUCCAGUCUCCAGGAUGCACAGAGGCCACUGGGAAAUAAGUAAGAUUGGAGAAGAAUCUAUAAAGAGGGAAGGUGAUGCUUCCAGAAUUCUGACUCUUCAGAGGUGUCAUGGGUUGAACUGUGUCCUCCAAGAAGGAAGACAGACACGUUCAGACUGAGACAUGGGGAAAAUGCCCUGAGACCACGAAGAAAGGCGGGAAUACUGCAGCUGCAAGACACAGAAUGCACAAGACUUCCAGCAAAUGCUGGAAGCUGGGAAGAGGCAAGAAAGUCCCUCUCCCAUUGGUUGUAGAAAAAAUCUGGCCCUCCAGACACCAGAGGUCUGGACUUCUAUGUCCAGAACCAUGAGAAAAUACAUUGCUGCUGUUCUAAUCCAGCUGGCCUCUGUGUCCUUUGUUAUGGCAGGCCUGGGGAAUGACUCCAGGAGGGAAGAGGGCACAAAUCUCUUUCUGACAAGCACCUCUGCCAUUGCCAGCCUGCCUGGAGCUGACACCCUGCGGAAGACCCUUCCUCCUCCUUGGGAAGCACACACGCGGUGCAGUGUCUCCAGCCUUUGCCUUGUUACCCUAACCUUCUAACCCACUUCCUGAAUCCUGCAGAUCUGAGCCUCUUGCCUUUCAAAUUAAGGUCUGGACAUAUUUCCUGUUCGUUUGACACUCCUCAAAGUCCUAGGGUGGAAACCAGAUACUGAGUGACACACAAUAGUCUGCAGAGGAAGCUCUUCCCUGCAGUGGGGCACAGCCAGGCUUUCAGCCCCAGAGGUGAGACUCCAGUGUCAUUUCUCCUCACUCGCUUUCAGUGAGCAGGUGGAAGUGGGUGGUUUGGCUGACUCCUGGCAGGAACAGGAAGUCUGCCUUGAGUUUCACUUUUCAAGACUCAGGGUUUGAUGGGGCUGGCUUGGCAGCAGGAUAUGUGGGCGGGUUGGGUUCCCCCAGGAGGGAGAACUGGGAGCCCAGAACUUGAGGUCUUCCACAGACCACACAGCAACCUCUGGCCAUAGUGCUUCUGAUAAGUAAUUGUUUGCAACCUGAGCUUGAGGACAUCCACCCAGAGCUUGGCACAGGGGCUUCGCCUUUACUGCAGAGGGGCUGCUGCCCAACCCUCUGUGCCAAAGGAGCCACUUCCUAAUGGUCUGUAUCUGCCAGGCUAAGAGGCUGGGGAACCUGGGCAUCUGAAAGCUGCUGGGAAGGCAGGAAGCAGGAAGGGGGCCCGAGGUUUGGCAAGAGGCCCAGUGCCACCCCUAGGACAGCUUUUCAAUGGUUUCUAUCCCCCUUUUCUUCCUGAAACCUUAAUGCUAGCGAGGAGAGGACUGGAAGUGAAGGUGGAAGAUCCAGAAACCACUAUUAGGAUAUGUGACCUGGAGCAAAUCAAUCUCUGUGCCUCAGUUUCCCAUGCAUUCAAUGAGGACAGUACCUACCUGCUGGAUAGGGUUAUGAGAAUACUUAAAUAAGAUGGAUGACUAGGCAGUGUCUGGUACAUGGGGAGCAGUGUCAUGGAUAUCGCCUAUUAUUAUUAUUUAUAACGCAGAAAAGAGUGGUAGGAUUGCCAGGCUGGCAGGUUUUUUAGCCAGCGUCCCAUACUUUUCUGACUUCAGCUAGCAAUUGUAGCCUCCCUUGGAGACUUUCUGGCUCAGAGAGGAGAGUCUGGUAUUGGAUUCAAAUCCCUCUGCCAGUAUUUACUGUAACUCCAGGCAAAAGGUUUAACCCAUGAUGACUCAGUUUGCUAAUCUAUGUGGUAGGAAUAAUAGCACUUUCUCUUCGGGGUACAAAAAGCCUUGACAUCGUUCAUAUGAGCAGUCUGCCCAUGAGAGGAGCCAGGG